GAUGAACGCUAGCGGGAGGCCUAACACAUGCAAGCCGAGCGGUAUUGUUUCUUCGGACAUGAGAGAGCGGCGUACGGGUGCGUAACACGUGUGUAACAUGCCUUUAUCUGGGGGAUAGCCUUUCGACAGGAAGCUUAAUACUCCAUAAUAUAUUGAACGGCAUAGUUUAAUAUUGAAAGCUCCGGCGGAUAGAGAUGGGCACGCGCAAGAUUAGCUAGUUGGUGAGGUAACGGCUCAUCAAGGCGAUGCUCUUUAGGGGGCCUGAGAGGGUGAUCCCCCACGAUGGAACUGAGGCACGGACCAGACUCCUACGGGAGGCAGCAGUGAUGAAUAUUGGGCAAGGGGGGCAAGCCUGAACCAGCCAUCCCGCGUGAAGGACGACUGCCCUAUGGGUUGUAAACUUCUUUUGUAUAGGGAUAAACCUACCCUCGGGAGGGUAGCUGAAGGUACUAUACGAAUAAGCACCGGCUAACUCCGUG
rnacentral:rRNA from 1 species